AUUGACUACAGCGGUAUGAAACGCCGACAGGGGUCCCCGUUGAAUUCUUGCUCCCGAGAAACCCUUGGGAUGCCUUGAGGGCUUCCUUUGGAAAUUGUCACAUCGCAAAUCUAACAUCAUGGGUUUCCCUUUUGUUUGUCGAAACGAAUGUGACGGGGGCUCUUAGACAACGGAGAAAUUCAAGACAAGUGAUAUUGACUCAUCUAUUUAGUUCCUCUGUGAUUCGGAGAGAUCCCUGCAUGAUUAGGCGUGUGGACAGAAGGAGCACGGAGGCACGGGGAGAAAAAGAGGGGGAAACCACUAGGCUCCUCCUUUUCGUGGGAGGAUGGUGAAUAUCUAAUGCUCUUUAUUUUGGUCAGGUUUGCACUUCUUGCAUGCAUCCCAUUGCAUUGUGCAAGGCGUUUACGUGCACCAGCUGUAGGAAUUUUUACGCUGGGGAGUGCGCACCUUGGAAAGUCUGACAGGGAAAGACGAAGGAUUUGAUGAAGAAAUCUCCUGGAAAUGGCACCGAUAUAGUGAUAACGUAAAGUGUUCAUAGGCACGUCUUUCUCUAAGAGCCGGACUCACGACUGUCGGGCUUGCAUACAUCACACGUAGUGAAGCCGAGGGAUUGCUCAGAGCCUUCCGUCAAAAUGGGCUUCCGGUCUGCUGUGGACAGCGUGGUGCGCCGCUUGGUGCGGGUCAAGUCCCUUGACAUCUCCGGCAUGAACAUCCGCCGCGAUUCAGUGCCCGGGAAGUUGUCCAAGUGUCUGUCGACCCUGGAUCUCGUCUCCCUUGGGGUGGGGAGCUGCAUGGGGACAGGCAUGUAUGUGGUCUCAGGUCUGGUCGCGAGGGAGAUGGCCGGGCCAGGUGUUAUUCUGUCUUUCAUUGUUGCAGCUUUAGCGUCUAUUUUAUCAGGUGUUUGCUAUGGCGAAUUCGGAGUAAGAGUGCCAAAGACAACGGGAUCAGCCUACAUGUACAGCUACGUCACAGUUGGAGAGUUCACGGCCUUCGUGAUUGGCUGGAAUCUGAUCCUGGAGUAUUUGAUUGGCACGGCGGCCGGCGCAAGCGCACUCAGCAGCUGUCUGGAUUCACUUUUCACCAACAAAAUAAGCGAGUUUAUGAUGGACCAUGUGGGAGGUUUCGGCAUCCACACCGAAACCUAUCCAGAUCUAGUUGCCAUGGUAAUCGCCAUCAUCAUGACCUUGAUCGUGACGGCAGGGGUCAAGAAGUCGGUGGCCUUCAACAACAUCUUGAACGCCAUCAAUUUGGCCGUGUGGGUCUUCAUGAUCGCUGGAGGGCUCUUCUUUCUAAAUGGAAACAACUGGAGCGAGAAUGGAUUCCUCCCGUUUGGCUUCUCUGGGGUAAUGACCGGUGCAGCCACGUGCUUCUAUGCUUUCAUCGGGUUUGACAUCAUUGCAACGACAGGAGAGGAGGCUAGAAAUCCAGCCAAGGCAAUCCCAACAGCCAUUUUGCUCUCAUUGCUUAUCUGCCUCGUGGGUUACGUCUCGGUGAGUUUUGUACUGACUCUGGCCGUUCCGUACUACGACAUCGGCCGAGAGGCACCGCUGAUGGACAUGUUCGUCCAGAACCACGCCGAACCCGGCAAAUACUUCGUGGCUGUUGGCUCUAUCGCUGGCCUGACGGUCAGUCUGCUUGGGUCACUAUUCCCCAUGCCGAGGGUCAUCUACGCAAUGUCCACUGAUGGCUUGCUGUUCAGGUUUUUGGCUCGAGUUAACAAAGUCACCCAAACGCCUGCUGUUGCCACGGUCAUUGGUGGUUUUCUGGCCGCUAUCUUGGCCCUAAUGGUGAGCUUGGCGGACCUGAUAGAAAUGAUGUCCAUAGGUACACUCCUAGCUUACACCCUGGUGUCCAUGUGCGUCCUUAUUCUCCGUUACCAACCCCACUUGGAUCUGGAGCGAGGUAUGAACGAAGGUCUGCCUUAUGACACCUUCGAGAACGAGGAUGAUGAAGAUGACGUCACCACCGAGGGGUCGGUGGAGGAGACAUUGGAGACGAAGCCAACUUUGGAAGAGGCGGGUCCUGAGCAGCUUCUACCGAAACUCCCAAGCCUUGAUCCCGCCACCCGCAGCUACGGAGCCGUAGACGGCGAUCCGGAAGCGGAUUCCUUCCGGAAUUACAACAAGUGGCAGUUCUACAAGUCGCGGGCGCGCGAGUUUCUCUACGACCGCUACCAAAGGCUACGGGUCUUCCUCCGUCUUCCAGACAAAUCUGUGCUCCCCACCAGCGCCACUGGCAGCGUGGUCACCAUGGCAACGAUAGGUCUCUUCUUCUCCCUCUUCAUCCUCAACGCCAUCAUCAUCUACGGUCGGCAGUUUCUCAGCCAGUGGUGGUUGAUCAUCAUAUUCCUGGUGGUGCUAGCCGGCGUGUUUGGCUUAAUACUGAAGAUUGUUCAGCAGCCCCAGAAUCCAGACAAGCUGCCGUUCAUGGCGCCCUGCGUCCCCUUGCUGCCCUUCUGCGCCAUCUUUGUCAACGUGUUUCUGAUGCUGAAGUUGUCACCACUCACGUGGGUGCGUUUCGUCAUAUGGAUGGCAGCCGGCCUCAUAAUCUAUUUUGGGUACGGAAUAUGGAAUAGCAGCAUUGAAGCUAGACACCAUGACGUCAGUAGGAGAACAACUGAAGGGAAAGAGGCAAUCAUAAUGGACGCCAAGGGUGUCGAGAUGCCGACUGAAACCAGUAUGGUGCCUGCCCACGCCAAGAGCGUCCCGAAACCUGAGGAAGACAGGGAGCCAGUUGCCGAUUUAGAGUCUGACUAGGGGAAGUAGAGGCGUAUUCGAAAUGAAUUAUAAUAAACCCCAUAACAUAAAACUGGGGUUAUCAAGACAGUGGAAAUUAGAUUGGUUAAAAGUGCGAAUUAACCUCUUGCCUCACACAAUGAUCGAUCACCAAAAGUCGAUGAUCGGAUGUUACUAGAGAGCGCCAUGCCUCCAUUGAUUGCAUUCCCAAAAUAUUAUCCUGACAUACCAAGAGAUAAGGUAAUAAUACUUCGACAGUCGUAAGCCAGAUGAGUCGAAGAGGUCAGUAUCAAUUCGCAUUCUGUGUUUAAAGUGACUAAGUUUUUAAAGUUUGUAUCCGAGAUGUUGUUUUGAUGGGGUCUAGGUUCUUCUAUUGCACUCUGAGAUUUUUCGAAAUAGAUGAACGAUAACAAAGGAAAAAUCCACAUGUAAUUAUGCAUAAAAAAUGAGCCUGGAACGUUAAUAAUCAUUACGAAACCACGACGAAAACGGGUACCGUAGAUAUAUUCAGACUUUAUUAAACAAGGCUUGUAUGGGACGUGCUGUAAGAAAGUUGAGGGCGCCACGCCUAACCAGUUGUCAGCUGUCAUUUUGUAUCAGCAAAUGAAACCAGUCGAAGCAGAUCUGCAGGCAAUGAAUGUCAACGGUAUUGGCCCCAUGGGGAAACCUUGCCAAGUUUUUCAAAAAAGUAUAGUGACUGAUGGUACAACUUACAGAAAGAGGCACGAUGUGGCAGAAGUAGCAGGCCUCACAUCUUUUUCCUUUGGUGAAAUGGAUGACAAUAGGUUCAUCAUUCUUUUUAAAAAG
rnacentral:misc_RNA from 1 species